AUUGAACGCUGGCGGCAUGCCUUACACAUGCAAGUCGAACGGUAACGGGGACUUCGGUCUGCCGACGAGUGGCGAACGGGUGAGUAAUAUAUCGGAACGUGCCCAGUAAUGGGGGAUAGCUCGGCGAAAGCCGGAUUAAUACCGCAUACGCCCUCGAGGGGGAAAGGUAGGGGGAGUCUUCGGACCUCACGUUAUUGGAGCGGCCGAUAUCAGAUUAGCUAGUUGGUGGGGUAAAGGGACCGUACCAAGGCGACGAUCUGUAGCUGGUCUGAGAGGAUGAUCAGCCACACUGGGACUGAGACACGGCCCAGACUCCUACGGGAGGCAGCAGU
rnacentral:rRNA from 1 species